rnacentral:rRNA from 1 species
AACGAACGCUGGCGGCAUGCCUAACACAUGCAAGUCGAACGAGACCUUCGGGUCUAUUGGCGCACGGGUGCGUAACACGUGGGAACCUGCCCGUAGGUUCGGAAUAACUCCCCGAAGGGGGUGCUAAUACCGGAUAAUGUCUUCGGACCAAAGAGUUAUCGCCUUUGGAUGGGCCCGCGUUGGAUUAGCUAGUUGGUAGGGUAAAAGCCUACCAAUGCGACGAUCCAUAGCUGGUCUGAUAGGAUGCUCAGCCACACUGGGACUGAGACACGGCCCAGACUGCUACGGGAGGGAGCAGUGGGGAAUAUUGGACACUGGGCGCAAGCCUGAUCCAGCCAUGCCGCGUGAGUGAUGAAGGCCUUAGGGUUGUAAAGCUCUUUUACCCGGGAUGAUAAUGACGGUACCGGGAGAAUAAGCUCCGGCUAACUCCGUG